UACGGCGGAUGCGAGCGUUAUCCGGAUUUAUUGGGUUUAAAGGGUGCGCAGGCGGAGGUGCAAGUCAGUGGUCAAAUUGCGGGGCUCAACCCCGGCCUGCCGUCGGAACUGGGUGCCUUGAGUGGGCGAGAAGUAUGCGGAAUGCGUGGUGUAGCGGUGAAAUGCAUAGAUAUCACGCAGAACCCCGAUUGCGAAGGCAGCAUACCGGCGCCCUACUGACGCUGAGGCACGAAAGUGCGGGUAUCGAACAGG
rnacentral:rRNA from 1 species